AACCUGCUCUCCGGCUGUUCACCAUCUGUGCCUACAGCAGCCUCCUGGUGAUUACUUACAAUAACGGAGUACUCCUGGAAAUGAACAUGAACCAAUUGCUGUAUUAAAUCUAACUGGUCACACCAACUGGGAAGAGGUGCCAUCAAGCCUGAUAGGGAAGACUAAAUAUCCAGGUCCAAAAUUCCAUAGCAAGAAGCUGCUGGGCCUGUCCCCAACUCAGUGGAAAUGUCUGAGCAAGGUCACAUGAUUUCCAUGCCAAGCUAGACCUUCAUUCUACAGGAUGCCCUGGGUUUAAGCAGCAGAAGAGAUACUCUGCAGCAGCUUUAGCCCCAGGAGUCAGAGACGUGGCACCGCUGGAGCCCAUAGGCAGCUCAGCUGCACCAUCACCACAUGCAGACAGCUACUGACCCAAGCUGGGGCCCAGCAUCCAUGUUUCUGCUCAUUCCCCCACCAUUAUGCUGAGGACUUUUCCAGAAGGGUAGACUGGGACUGGGAUGUUUACACCUGCACUUAUUCUUCGUGAGGAUCUAUUUCUUCAUUCAUCACCUCUAAGAACUAGGACAUUGGUUAACACAGAGCAUUGCUAUCAAUAAAGUUGACCUGAUAAACUGUGUAAGGAGAAAUUUAUUGGGAAAUGUCAUGCAAGCAGUUCCGAGCAUGUACAUCACUGAUGCCCUAACCUGUUUGUAGGCGAGCUAAGAGAGAGACACCUUUUAAAUAAUUUGACAGGAAGCAACUUGGCCUCUGGGCCAAUGAAAAUGUUCUAGUCAUGAGCAUGGAGAACUACUUUGCUGCCUCACAUAGAGAUAUCAAAAUGUUCCCUACACCGUCUGUUUUACUCCACGCUUUGU